rnacentral:tRNA from 1 species
GGGGAAGUCGUCUAGGGGUUAGGACGGCGUCCAGUCAUUUACAUGUCUGGUACGUAAACGGUGGUUCGAUUCCAUCCUUCUCCA